rnacentral:rRNA from 1 species
AGCUCUUCAAGUUGUCGGGACAAUUAUUGAGCUUAAAGUGUCCGUAGCCGGUUUGGUAAGUCCCUGGUUAAAUCUGGUAGCUUAACUAUCAGUUUGCUAGGGAAACUACCUAGCUAGAGGGCGGGAAAGGUCUGAGGUACUCCAGGGGUAGCGGUGAAAUGCGAUAAUCCUUGGGGGACCACCAGUGGCGAAAGCGUCAGACUGGAACGCGCCUGACGGUGAGGGACGAAAGCCAGGGGAGCGAACG